rnacentral:misc_RNA from 1 species
UUUCCGUAGGUGAACCUGCGGAAGGAUCAUUACCACACCAAUCUCGGGGUCAUUUCGGUGACUCCGUUUCCGUUACGUGGAAACAACAUUUCUUUGGGGAGUGCUCUAGUCUAGUCUUGUACCAGUCUAGUAUCACUCGCCCAUCUCCGAGGGCUAACACCCGAGGAACCAUUUUCAUCCGCUUGAGCAAUCAAGUGUGAUACACCAAAACAUCAUGAUCGUGACGAUUCAUAGGUGCUGAAGUCUCACCGACAUCAGUGCCGUGCUAUGAAACGUAAAUAACACUUUCAGCAACGGAUGUCUUGGCUCCC